rnacentral:rRNA from 1 species
CAUCCUACGGGGGGCAGCAGUAGGGAAUCUUCCACAAUGGGCGCAAGCCUGAUGGAGCAACACCGCGUGAGUGAAGAAAGGUUUCGGCUCGUAAAGCUCUGUUGUUGGAGAAGAACGCGCGUGAGAGCAACUGUUCACGCAGCGACGGUAUCCAACCCGAAAGUCACGGCUAACUACGUGCCAGCAGCCGCGGUAAUACGUAGGUGGCAAGCGGUAUCCGGAUUUAUUGGGCGUAAAGCGAGCG